rnacentral:lncRNA from 1 species
UCCCAUAAGAGGACUAGUACCGUAUGAAAUAAUUUUGUAAGAGUUAUAGUAGAUAAAGUUUUAAAAGCAAAAUAUAAAAAAUAUGUCAAAUUGUAUAGUUAUGCUAGUAACAGGGGAACUGACUAUUUGAAGAGACAUCAAGAGAGCCAUAUUAUGAGUGAUGCUCGUCUUCAAAGCACCCUUAAUAUACAAGAGGAUAGUCUUAUAGAUAGUUUUGCAUAUAAUCAUAAAAAUCAAAGGAAAGC